GACGAACCGUGCGAACGUUGUUCGGAAUCACUGGGCUUAAAGGGCGCGUAGGCGGGCUGUCAAGUCCGGGGUGAAAUCCUCCAGCUCAACUGGAGAAUGGCCUCGGAUACUGAUGGUCUCGAGGAGGAUAGGGGCACACGGAACUGUGGGUGGAGCGGUGAAAUGCGUUGAUAUCCACAGGAACUCCGGUGGCCGAAAGCGGUGUGCUGGAUCCUUUCUGACGCCUGAUGGCGCGAAAGCCAGGGGAGCAAGCGGGG
rnacentral:rRNA from 1 species